rnacentral:rRNA from 1 species
GACGAACGCUGGCGGCGUGCUUAACACAUGCAAGUCGAACGGAAAGGCCCUGCUUUUGUGGGGUGCUCGAGUGGCGAACGGGUGAGUAACACGUGAGUAACCUGCCCUUGACUUUGGGAUAACUUCAGGAAACUGGGGCUAAUACCGGAUAGGAGCUCCUGCUGCAUGGUGGGGGUUGGAAAGUUUCGGCGGUUGGGGAUGGACUCGCGGCUUAUCAGCUUGUUGGUGAGGUAGUGGCUUACCAAGGCUUUGACGGGUAGCCGGCCUGAGAGGGUGACCGGCCACAUUGGGACUGAGAUACGGACCAGAAUCCUACGGGAGGCAGCAGUGGGGAGUAUUGCGCAAUGGGCGGAAGCCUGAUGCAGCAGCGCCGCGUGCGGGAUGACGGCCUUCGGGUUGUAAACCGCUUUCGCCUGUGACGAAGCGUGAGUGACGGUAAUGGGUAAAGAAGCACCGGCUAACUACGUG